UUUUUCCUGUGUCUUUUCCUCAUCAUGUAUGUUAAUUAUUUCAUUUAUGUAAACAACAAUAGAUGGAUUGGGUUAAUACAAGCAACAAUGGGUAAUUUGAUGAUCCAGUUAAACUAUGUUGUGAUUAAAAACAGGUGAUGUUUAAGCCCCGUUAACUGCAUAAUUGACUGGCAGAUAAACCAGUUAACAAUAGGAGCUUCACUUCCUUUCAAGCGAUGGCAUUAUUCAUGUUUAACGUACGUAAUAUAUUGCCAUUGGAUCUGAACAGGUUUAUUUAGUUUCUUGAAAUAACAUUCUGCUGAAUAGGAAAGGAUAAAUGAGUUCCUGCUCUUGAUUUCCAAUUUUCUGGCCAUCAUCAAAUUUUAUUAUCAACACGUAAGCGCCUUGCAAUGUGAAAGUAAUAGUUUCAGGCUUAUCAACAUGAAGGUCUACGAUUCUGAUAUUUACACCCAAACAAGAGAAUCUCCUACUCGUUUGCUAUAAAUGUCAAAAAUAUUUUCAUUCCUAUUGAAAAAGGAUGGUACCUUAAAAUCACACCCAAUAAUGAAUUGGAAAACAAAGUGAAGGCAUAUUUUUUUGUACAAUUCUGUUUAUUUAAAGCAUUGAAAUUGAUCAUAA